rnacentral:miRNA from 1 species
AACACAAGGUAUUGGUAUUACC